UAGCUCAGCGGUAGAGCAGUUGACUGUUAAUCAAUUGGUCGUGGGUUCGAAUCCC
rnacentral:tRNA from 1 species